CGAGGGUCUCCGCUGAACUCCCACCUCCUCUGCCCGGCAACACUCGGCCUCUGCCGUCCCUCUUAUCCCGGCCCGUGCCCGCCCCGCCGCGCCCAUUGGCGGCCGGGCCGGGCCGCGCCUCCCGCCGGGCCCGGGGCGGGGCGGGGUCUGCCGGGGCUGUCCCGCAUCACCCCCGGGACGGGGCCGGGAGCGCCCGGGGGCGAUGCGGGGCCUCCCUGGGGGCCCGCCCCAGCGCCGGAGCCGCUAGGUUGGGUAAUGUUUGUCCAGGUAUUUACUCCGAGCGUUGUCGGGCCGGAGAUAGUGGCAGCACCCUGGUGGAAUUUAACCCGGAGGGCCUUAACAUGGGGAGCUGGCAGAACGAAGUAAAAAAUAAGUCUGGAGGCAAAGAGACGCGUAUGACGGGUGUGGGCAGCCCCAGCGCCGUCCGUGUGCUCCGGUGAGGGCUCCUGCUCGGGUCAGGUUGUGGCGGCGGCUCCAGUGCUGCCCUGGUGGUCUCCGGCCGUGGGUGCCCCCGGCAGCCCCACCCGCUCCUCCCGGCGGGGACAGCUGCUGCCUUUGCGCUUCUGCCAGAGGUUUCGUAGAACGCAGCCGGCAGUGCCAUUUCCAUGAGGCUGGCAUCAAGCAUAGUAUCUCCCACUGGGCGCAGCAGCAUGGUGGUGACACUGCUGCCAGAAACAUUUCCAGGAAAGUCCUUCUAUUCCCCCAUGUUUUCGUAUCUGAAAAUUGCUUUCUUUGGGUAUUUUGUUUUGGUGUUUUGUUUUUGGUUUGUUUUUUUCUUUGUUUUCCUUUUUUAUUUUUUCUGCUUCUGGACCCAAGUUCGGUAAAAGGUGUUUUAACACUGGUUGUGGCUGGUGUUUAUGUGCAUAACAUCCAGUAAUACCUACUGGAAAACACUGUGACACCAGGAGUUGCUGCACAGAUGAGAUACUAGUGGGGUGGACUUGGUUUUCAUGUAAGCAGUUGUAGACAAACUUCGAUUUUUAACAGGGAAUUUGUCUACAGUAGUACAAUAACUGCAGGUUGUAUGAGGUUCACCCUUAAACCCUUGUGGAGGCAGCAUUGCUGAUGGCUUUAGCUUAUAAAUUUUAGAACAUACAGUUAGUGUAAAAAUCAGGGUUUGCAGACUAUUACACAACAGUGAAAAGGAAGAAAUCAUAUGAUAUGUACUUCUCACUUUUUUUGAUGUCUUAAGACACACAGUGUAUUGCUAAAACAAGCAAUACAUGUUUCUUUACCCAGAUAAUCUCAGGAGCAUUCUUUGGCCUAAGAAAACUUGACAAACCCAAAUACAGAUACAUUGAAGGAAUUCUCUUGUCUUUUUAAAGCAUCUGUGCAAGUCCUCUAUGCAGUUGUAUCUUUCCAGCAUAGAACUUUUCACUUCAUAAUCAAUUCACAUUUAAAUGCCUCAGGAGAGUUAAAUAUAACAUCACCUAGUUCAAUUAACUUAUAAUAAGGGAUUUUUUUCUUGAGUUUUGAGGUUUUUUUGAGAUGUGUGGCAUUUGAAAAUACUUAACAGCUUUUUGCUGAUUUCUUUUUUGUGCAAUUGGAUUUCUCAGUCCUGUUUAAGUUAGCUUUGUGUAUGCAAUUGUAUCUGGUAUUGACUGAGCAUUGAAAGACCACAAGUAAAUUAUCAAUGAACUAUGGACAAUAAGUUUUUUUCUUAAAGGACAAGAUGUUUAGCUGGUGUGACAGGAGGUAAUGUCUAAAUUACAGAAGGUCUUGCACCAUAAGUCACAUGUCUGCUGUUCUGUAAUGUGCCCUGAGAUGCAUGAAGACAAACUGAUGCUUUUCUAGAUGAUAUGAGGUCUUGUCUCUUGGGGGAAGUUACCAUGCAGUCAGCUAACAUAUGAUACCACUGUGCUGUUCUCUCCUCCUGAACACUCUUGGUGCACGUACACAUGCACACACGCGCACGCCCACACAUACACACACAGGAGUCAAAUACUUUUUUAAUAUGAAGACAAAUUCACCCUACCAGUUUAUUUAACAACUGUUCAUAGGGCAGUCUUAGCUGAGAAUUUGUUGAAAUCCUUGAAGGAGACAGGAAUACUUUCAUCUUCAGCAUGUUGACUUAGGCUUGUACUGAGUCAUAAGUGUUGUGCGGAUAUAUCAAUUCCCUAGAUUUUUAGCUAAGGACAUUUGAGAGCCCAGGUGGAAAAAUGUCAGCAUAUGCAAGGAAAACCAGCACAGCAACCAUCAUGGUCAGAAUUUGGUCAUCACAAGAGUGGCCAUUUAGAAACCUGUGAUAGGAAGCUGAACUAGGACCACCUCCAACUCCUGGAUGCACAUUUCCUCUCCGAGAAUUUUAUUAUAAUGUAUCAACGUGAACACCGACAGUCACAUUGCAGCAGCUGUUCAUUAUUUCAGGCAAGGUAAAACACCACGUUACACAGCUACUAGGUAUCCCUCUGUUACUGUCCCUGCCGCUCCUGCCUGUGCGCCACGAUGUGUUCACAAGCCAAACUGUAAGCCCAGUGUGGUGAUGGUCUGCUGAAGUGAACAGAUGAUCAGUGGCAGCAGUUACAGGUAAUAACUGGGCAGAUACUGAUAGAAAUAAUUUUGCAUUUAACUGUGCAGCCUUGUGACAGUAUGCUACAGUCACACCAGCCCUAGCAGCCUUUGCUAUAUUGUAAACCUCUCUGUGGGGACUGAGCCAUGCACUCCUUCUAUGUUAGCAGGGAGAAGAGAUGAAAUCAAGAGCUCCUACAGUUCCUCUGCUUAAAAGCUCAGUUGAAACCAUCCAGUCCAGAGGAGAUGUAGUUAGCCAUGCUAAUCACAGUAGUCAGUGUUGUGUCUGCAAUAAUCCAAAGAUCAAAACUUGGAAGGAAGACACUUGUCCAUUACUUUAAAUGUCUCAGUUUCAGAAGAUAACUUUCCAAACUGUUUUCUUAAAAACCUCAGCUUUUGAGGAACUCUACAUAUAUAAAACUCCAGGUAUUUUGCUAAAGACAUACCACUCUUUUAAGAGAGAGGAGCAACACCUUUUAAUAACUAGUCAUGCCACCAUUGCAACAGCCAGAAAGUGCCAAUUCCACUGCAGCUAUCAGGUCCUACAAGCUACCAGAUAACAGAGUCUAUACAUUUCCAAAUAGUGCCAAGAACUUGCAUAGCAGUGUGUUGCCCCUGAAGCUGAAGGAGUCAAUUCAGCAUUGAAUCUCCAGGGACAGAUCUAAUCAACUGUGCUGCUGCAGUUUCCAAGUGUGGUUGGUACGGCACAAGUUGCUGCAUCACAUAUGUGCAGCGCAAUGCUCUCUCCUCCUUUGGAACCAAUCUACUUCUUUGAAUCCAGGACUUUGAAACUUUUUUGGUACUUUUAAGUCCUUACCAUUCGUUCUCCUGGUACAAAUACACAGAGGAAGGGACCAAUCUGCAUCUGCCAGAAGACGAUCCAGCAAUUAGAAAAGCUAAGCUCCUUUGUAAUGGCAAUCGACUUGCCAAGCUACAGGAGGCUGGCAAUAUGUAAAAACCAUCUGAGCAAUGUUAACAGAAUAAGCUAUGUCACACUCAACUGUGACAAGACUGUGUGAAUAAGCAGCUCCCCUAGACCAGCAAUCUAACUCAUGAGCCAUGAUCUUUACUGAAAUAAAAACAAGUGGCUUUUGUGCAUGCCAUUUUAUUUGAAUAGCAAAGGUGGGACAUUUAUUUUAUUUAAUCAAAGUGCUGGAGAUAUCAAUUACUACUGAGACUAAAUUCAGGAUUUUUGUUCAUGAUAUAAAAAUAUUGAACUGGCUUACUUAAAAAGCUAUGCAUGUGAACCUGUUUGUUUAUACAAACAUUAAAGUCCUCUAGCUUACAAUUUAGUUUCUGUCAUUUCACCAUACUACACUAUGGCUUAAGAAUAGAUUUCUACAGGAGUAUGGUCUCAGUCAAAAUGUAUUUCAAUGUCAUAUAGCCUAAAAUGCAAAUUACUAUAUUUCAUAGCGAGCUUUUACCGACCAGCUUCCAUUAGGUGCUACCAAAACAAAACAAAAUAAAACAACAAACAAACAAAAAAAGAAAAUAAAAACAAAUUUAAAAAUUCAUAUUCUGUUUAGCCAAAAAUUGAUCCAGUUUAGAAAGUCAGAGUUGCAUUGCAGAGAAUACUGUGCUGAUUUUACAUCCCAGAGUCUGAUUUGUGUGUAAGAAAUGCCAGUCAUACUUGUCUUUUGGAAAAUGAAACUUUAAAAAAUACAGGCCAAAUUUCUUUUCUAAAAAAUUAUGACGAUUUUCUUCUACCUUAUAGUAAAUGUUCUUCUUGCAAGAAAAAAGCAUUGUAAAUUUCCAAAACUAGAGUGACUGCUUCAGAAAGCUGGGAGGAUAUGAGAAAACAAUUGCAGUAGGGAUAUCCUUAUGCUGCUUGCUUUAAUACUUAUUAUUAGUGGUACACUCAGAAAAGUUUUAGGAACUGCAGAUAUUUUUUACCUAAAUUGAUUUGAGCAUGCUUGAGAAAAAGGCUACCAAAUAAACAUGAGUGGUUUCUCUUCUUCUGUGCAGUUCCAUGAAAAUAACCAACUUUCUCCCCCAGCCUAGGCAUUCCUCACCACAAAUUUGAGAUGGCUCCUGACUUUAUAAUGUCCCUCUGGGAUUAACAACGUUCGUUCAUUAGUAGUCUCUUAAGAAUCUUUGUUUUGGAUUCUCCCUAGUAAAAUACAACAUUCCAACUGCUUCAGCUGGAGCAUAAGCCAUAAUGAGGUUAGUUGCAUCAUUUUUAGGUUAGAAAAGGAAGCAGCAUUUGCUUCAAGGGAACCCAGAUAAGUUCUGUGAGUGUUCCGAAGACCUGGGAGAUGGCUGAGGAACAGUGACACAAUCCUUCUGAACUUCUUUGUUUUCAGUGGUCUUGUGAUCUACCAGAAUCACCAUUUCCUCACCCAAGUGCUAGAUAAGAAACCACAUUCCAGCUUCUCUGCUGGCCCACGAGGCAGAGACGACUUCGUUUGCAUCUCAAUGUCUCACCUAGUCACAGGAGUUGGGAAAUGAUGCAAGGGAUUGCUUGCCUUGCAAGAAAGACCGGGUGGGGGUCCUCCCCUACUUCGGGGUUAGGGUUUCUCAUAAGCAAUACUCUGUUUCUGUGAGGUUUUUUGAUGAAGGUAUUUUUUGUAUGUGUGGGGGGGAAAAAGAGGUUUUUUGUUCUCCUUUUUUCUUUUACCUUAUUUUUUUAUAGAGGUUAAAUACUGAGUUUGAAGUCAGCUUUGAAGCUUUGACCAUUGUGUAACUCACAUGCUUAAAAUUCUAAACUUUGAUUGAUUCCUGAUUCAUUACUCAAUGUCUCUUCCUGAUUUCUGGCAGGUAGUAAUUUCUGUGUUUUGGGAGAUUUGAAAGCUAACCAGGGGAAAUAGUGGGAGUAUGCAGGGAAGUAUCAUAAAUUGUUGGUAUAGAAGUUUACAAAUAUAGAAUAAUUUUCACAUUGUACUGAUGUUUGUCUAAAAUUUAAAGGUAAUUGGUGUUUUUUCCUCCUUAUACUAAGAAGGAUACUAAAAUUUUUUUCUCAAAAGUAUUAACUAUUUCCUGACUCUCCUAAUUUAAAAUUUUAUUUUAACAAGUUGGAAGUUGUAAAUCCAGUCAGUAUUAUAAGAUUCCUCUGACCGAGAUAAAUUUUUUACUGCCCAUCAGUACUCUACAGAUCACAGUGAAAGCAUUUUAACAGAUUUCAAAGAAGGUGUGGGUAGGAUUUCACAUACUAUUUAAUAUUUGAAAUCACUUUUUGUUUUGGUUUAAUGAUCCAACAUUUCUAUUUUGAGAUGGAAAUAGUAAUAAAGUUCAGAGAAGCAGAAAUCUUUCAGUGUUUGAUUAUGAUGUUUGUGCUUCUGCAAGCCAUUGUAAACAGUUGCAUAGCAUGAAAGACAAUUCUGUCUCUUGGAGCUGUAGUGUCUAAAGUGCAAGCUGACAUGCUGGAAAGCAUUUCCCAUGAUAAGGUUAGAGACAGUGAGGUGAGGAAUUAUUUUUAAACUUAAAAGUUACAGGCUGGGCUUCAUUAACAGAUCAUGUGAGAGAAGGUUAAACAAAAGCUGCUUGCAGAAGAGGAGAGAGGCUAUUGAAACAAUCGAAUAUGGGUCAAAAGUUUGUUUUCCUGAAAAUCAGUGCAGAAAACAUCUGAGGACAGGGAGAAAUGUGAGGAGGAUGCAUCAUUGGUGCCUUGUUUACCCAGACUGUGGAUGAACGAGGGCUUCCCUUUCCCAAGACUCUUUCUGCAUCAUGGGGAGUAAUGGGGAGUAAUAAAGAGGACUUGUCAUUGCCUCCAGCUGCCAUUUAAAACUGUCUCUGCUCCCUGCAGAAAGCAGUGGAGAUGUUUUCCAAAGGUAUAUCCAUGGGAAAUUCAGAGAUCACAUCCACACUGUGCAGCUGAAUUUUGUCUGAGUUGAGCACAUGGUUAAACUGAUGGUAGAAAGAGGCCCUUGGGACUAUCAUGUUUAUCUAAAAAGCACCCAAUGCACUCGCUUUGACCUGUGCUCUCCUGUGCAAUGCCUAGUUCACCUGGUGCCACAGGCAGUAUUUCACAUGAGUGAUGUAGCAUUCUUUCCUGCAGUGAGCAAUUUAAAGCAGAAAGGUGGGUCUGAUAAGGAAACUGUGAAAAUACUAUGCUAGCAUGGAAGACUGAACAUUUAAAUAACUGAACAUCCUUAGUGAAGAUGAAUGUAUGAAACAAGGCAGAAUUUCUCUCUGGCAUGCUUUUCUUUGGUGACUGUGGGAAUUCCGUAGAGCUUUCCUAGCCAUGAUAGUAAGAAACAGGACAAAUGCAUGGUGCUAAGUGACAGCUGGGGAGGCUGUUCUUCCUGUAACUUUCCUUCACCUUCUGCUGAAAAAUAUUCUCCCUGUUUUGCUAAGUACAAACCAACCGUAUGUCUUGGAGAAUGAAUGGCAAAUAGGAAGCCACAUGGUAGCUUUGUAUUAAUCUAUUAAUAUCUGUUCUGUAGACCCAAAUUGGCACCCGAUUAAGUUCCUUUCUGUAUUUUCCUGGGAUGGCAGCAAUAAGUGAUUUGCAAAACAUUUCUCAGGCAGGUGUUAUUACCUGGGAUAAAAAGGACUGGAAAUCUUCCUCUUUCCAUUAGCACUUGCAAACUUUGAAUGCCUUGAUUCAGUUCUUGAAGCCAACAUGGAACCAGUGUUAAUUCAUCAGUUUAAACAUUCAUGCAGCUCCUUUAUGAGCUUCUAAAAGCAGAUUGAUACUGCAGAUGAUGCCUUAAGAUGAUGCCUCUGACACCUGUACUGGUACCUGACUACCAGGUCUAGGAGCUGCAAGUGAUAUUUCCUUCUGACUGUGAGCAACUGAGGAAAUUUAGCCCAUCCUAUCUGAUGUUAAUUUGGUUAUGGUGACUCACCUCUUUCCAUGUUUUCCAAGGAAAUUGUUACAACAUUCUCUAGCUGCCAACACAGUCCCCAGAGGUCUGUAGAAAAUUUUUAUUUGAAGUGUUCUAAUUGUAGAGGAUGGUACUUAAUUUCUUAAGUAUAACCAAAUCUGAGUCUAAUCCUACCUAUCAGGUGUUAUUGGAAAAUACUUCUGAAGAAAUAUCUUUCCUGCUUCUUCUGCAGAUACAUACAUACCUUAGGAAUGAUGAAAUAAUCCGUACUAUAGGCUUAGGAGAGUAGGAUAUGUUUCUGUCCUACAACUCAUCUGCACCUACACUGAUUUUCAUAUGCACUGACACAUUGCCUUUGGCACAAAAUUCCAGACUUGUACUUGUUGUUUUUCCACUAAUAAAAAUUUUGGCUUUGCAGUAAUUGAUUGCACUCAGCACUCUGCAGGAUACUUUUUUCUCACAUUUGCAGCCAACAGAAAGAUGUAAAAAUGAUACAAAGUUGUAGUGCUUUGUAGGUAAAUUUAGCAAUGGAGGGAUUCGCUGCUAACCUUCUCCCUGCGCUUCUUUUGCUUAGCUGAUUGCUACAUCUGUUUUGACUUGUAAGCAGUCCUGUGUAGGGGGGUCUGAAAGUGAAGCUGAUUCAUCUUUCAUGGGAAACAGACUAGUCAAACUAUACUUCUUUGUGGCCAGCCUAAAAACGUUGAUUUUGCAAUGCAAUGAGCAGGUCAAAAAGUGAAGCACAGGAUGACUCAAAGAGUCAUACACAUGCUGUCUUUUAACAUCAGCAGUCUAGCCCCUGUAAUGCAAGACCUUUCCCCUCUCUGCCACGUUUCUCUGACAGCAGUUUUGAAAAGUACAAAUUCAUCCUCCCCUCCCUGUGCACCACAUGCUGGUGUCUCACUCAGUCCUUACUCAUGCAGAUUCCAACCCUCUCCCCCAGCCCUCCAGCUUCAAUUGCUGAGGUGCAGCAGAAACAUCCUGACUAUACUUCCAACACAUAUAGUCCAGAUAUAAACACAUACUGCUAGUUAACUUCCAGAUAACACAUAUACUUCCAGUCUCCAGGUGUGUUACAGUCAGCUGUGACUGCGUCUGAAUCCAUAGGGAGCAUACCUCACCAAGCUGCAUUCGAAUCCUGUGCAGUUACAACAGAGUGCGUAUGCAUGAGCCUGGACACAGAGCCACCAGAUAUGCCUAGACCAUUGCAGCAGGUGAUACAUUUCUGCAGGAAGAGUAUGUGUGGGCUCAGGCUGUCAGCAUCUCUUUGCUGAGAAAUCCAUGUAAGAUGCAGCAUGUCCAAGCAUUCACUCCUGUUUGAGACCCCCUUGUCUCCCUGCCCUAAAUUCUUCUUAAUCUUCCUCUCUACCUAGCAUAUGUGAGUGCAUAUUGGUAGUGUAGGUGUCCUAGGCUUGGUGACAGCAGGAGCCAGAGUUUGGGCAAGGUGGUCCAGGUCUGCCAUGUCUCAGGGCAGGCCAGUGAAUUUUAAGCUACGUCCAACUGACUCAGCAACAUAAUUGCGUUCUGAAAAACAAUCUGUAAAUAUGCAUGUGUUGGAUUUGGACCUCACCCAAAGUAGUCUGGCUGGUGCAGAAACGCUAGGUCCGUUUGGUUAAUGCAAAACUGAACCAGAUCCACAGAGAUCCUCAGCUGCUGGUCCCACUGCUCUUGUAAAGCUUGUUAUGAUAAAUGGUGUAGCCAUACAGAGGAAUACCAUCCGUUCCCUUCUAUAUACUGCUCAUCUGACUUUUGAAGACCCAAGUACUUCUACCUGCAAAGUCUGAGUGGCUUGGCUGUAACCCUUUUGGAAAACUUAGGCAUUGUUGAAAACCUAUUUCAUUUUGCUUUUCCAUCCACUGCCUUGUCUGCCUUGUCUUCUGAGUCGGACAGUGUCUGAAAAGAAAUGUGAGUGAAUUUCUUUUUUUUUUUUUAUGCAGUGGACUGACUUUAACAAAUAAAAAUCAAAUAAAAAUAAAUUUCAAUAUUGUGCAGAUGCUUUUAGGAUAGCUUCAAAGAUACUCCAAUGCUCCAUCUCCUCUGACUUAGCCAACAGCAUGUUUCAUUUACUUUCUUUGGAGUUACAAUUUGGGCAUUACUCCUCCAUUUCAUUGUCAAAGCUGAAAUAGUGAUACAGUUCAAAUUGAGGCACCUGUUUUAAAUAAUGAUGCUGUAACACAGCAUCUCUGCAAGAAAAAGAUUGCAAUGAAUUAGGGAAGUAACUUUUCCUUUGAGGGAGCAACACAACCAGCAGAUGUUUAGGACCUGGCACUGGCUCCAGCACAGGCAGCUCUAAAAACUUCACUGUUGCUCUCUAUAAAGACUUGACCAUUUAGGAAACCAGCUCCUUUCUAAACCUCCUGGCUCUGUCAAAUAUGUGACAUUUGGGAGUUUCAUA